CCCAGACUCCUACGGGAGGCAGCAGUGGGGAAUAUUGCACAAUGGGGGAAACCCUGAUGCAGCAACGCCGCGUGGGUGAAGGAGCGUUUCGGCGCGUAAAGCCCUGUCAGCGGGGAAGAAGAAAGACGGUACCCGACCAAGAAGCCCCGGCUAACUACGUGCCAGCAGCCGCGGUAAUACGUAGGUGGCAAGCGUUAACCGGAUUUACGGGGUGUAAAGGGCGUGUAGCCGGGCUGACAAGUCAGAUGUGAAAUCCGGGGGCUCAACCCCCGAACUGCAUUUGAAACUGUUGGUCUUGAGUAUCGGAGAGGCAGGCCGAACUCCUAGUGUAGCGGUGAAAUG
rnacentral:rRNA from 1 species